GAGGAAGUAAAAGUCGUAACAAGGUUUCCGUAGGUGAACCUGCGGAAGGAUCAUUACCUAGAGUUGUAGGCUUUGCCUGCUAUCUCUUACCCAUGUCUUUUGAGUACCUUACGUUUCCUCGGUGGGUUCGCCCACCGAUUGGACAAAUUUAAACCCUUUGCAGUUGAAAUCAGCGUCUGAAAAAACUUAAUAGUUACAACUUUCAACAACGGAUCUCUUGGUUCUGGCAUCGAUGAAGAACGCAGCGAAAUGCGAUAAGUAGUGUGAAUUGCAGAAUUCAGUGAAUCAUCGAAUCUUUGAACGCACAUUGCGCCCCUUGGUAUUCCAUGGGGCAUGCCUGUUCGAGCGUCAUUUGUACCUUCAAGCUCUGCUUGGUGUUGGGUGUUUGUCUCCUGUAGACUCGCCUUAAAACAAUUGGCAGCCGGCGUAUUGAUUUCGGAGCGCAGUACAUCUCGCGCUUUGCACUCAUAACGACGACUCCAAAAGUACAUUUUUACACUCUUGACCUCGGAUCAGGUAGGGAUACCCGCUGAACUUAAGCAUAUCA
rnacentral:rRNA from 1 species